rnacentral:rRNA from 1 species
UGCGUAGGUGGUUUCUUAAGUCAGGAGUGAAAGGCUACGGCUCAACCGUAGUAAGCUCUUGAAACUGGGAAACUUGAGUGCAGGAGAGGAAAGGGGAAUUCCCAGUGUAGCGGUGAAAUGCGUAGAUAUUGGGAGGAACACCAGUGGCGAAGGCGCCUUUCUGGACUGUGUCUGACGCUGAGAUGCGAAAGCCAGGGUAGCGAACG